UGGGGAAUUUUGGACAAUGGGCGAAAGCCUGAUCCAGCAAUGCCGCGUGUGUGAAGAAGGCCUUCGGGUUGUAAAGCACUUUUGUCCGGAAAGAAAUCCUCUGGGUUAAUACCUCGGGGGGAUGACGGUACCGGAAGAAUAAGCACCGGCUAACUACGUGCCAGCAGCCGCGGUAAUACGUAGGGUGCAAGCGUUAAUCGGAAUUACUGGGCGUAAAGCGUGCGCAGGCGGUUUUGUAAGACGGAUGUGAAAUCCCCGGGCUUAACCUGGGAACUGCAUUCGUGACUGCAAGGCUAGAGUAUGGCAGAGGGGGGUAGAAUUCCACGUGUAGCAGUGAAAUGCGUAGAGAUGUGGAGGAAUACCGAUGGCGAAGGCAGCCCCCUGGGCCAAUACUGACGCUCAUGCACGAAAGCGUGGGGAGCAAACAGGAUUAGGAUACCCUGGUAGUCCACGCCCUAAACGAUGUCAACUAGUUGUUGGGGAUUCAUUUCCUUAGUAACGUAGCUAACGCGUGAAGUUGACCGCCUGGGGAGUACGGUCG
rnacentral:rRNA from 1 species